UACGAAGGGGGCUAGCGUUGUUCGGAAUCACUGGGCGUAAAGCGCACGUAGGCGGACUUUUAAGUCAGGGGUGAAAGCCUGAGGCUCAACCUCAGAACUGCCCUUGAUACUGGGAGUCUUGAGUAUGGUAGAGGUUGGUGGAACAGCAAGUGUAAAGGUGAAAUUCGUAGAUAUUUGCUAGAACACCAGUGGCGAAGGCGGCCAACUGGACCAUAACUGACGCUGAGGUGCGAAAGCGUGGGGAGCAGACGAGG
rnacentral:rRNA from 1 species